UGCCCUACGGGGCGCAGCAGUGGGGAAUAUUGCACAAUGGGGGAAACCCUGAUGCAGCGACGCCGCGUGAAGGAAGAAGUAUUUCGGUAUGUAAACUUCUAUCAGCAGGGAAGAAAAUGACGGUACCUGACUAAGAAGCCCCGGCUAACUACGUGCCAGCAGCCGCGGUAAUACGUAGGGGGCAAGCGUUAUCCGGAUUUACUGGGUGUAAAGGGGGCGCAGACGGCAAUGCAAGCCAGGAGUGAAAGCCCGGGGCCCAACCCCGGGACUGCUCUUGGAACUGCAUGGCUGGAGUACAGGAGGGG
rnacentral:rRNA from 1 species